AACGGCCAUACCAUGCUGAAUACACCGGUUCUCGUUAGAUCACCGAAGUCAAACAUCAUUGGGCGCGGUCAGUACUUGGGUGGGUGACCACCUGGGAACAUCGCGUGCCGUU
rnacentral:rRNA from 1 species